rnacentral:tRNA from 1 species
GGGCCGUUAGCUCAGUCGGCAGAGCACCUGACUUUUAAUCAGGGUGUCACAGGUUCGAGACCUGUACGGCCUAC